UACGGAGGGUGCAAGCGUUACUCGGAAUCACUGGGCGUAAAGAGCGCGUAGGCGGGAUAGCAAGUCAGAUGUGAAAUCCUAUGGCUUAACCAUAGAACUGCAUUUGAAACUGUUAUUCUAGAGUAUGGGGAGAGGUAGGUGGAAUUCUUGGUGUAGGGGUAAAAUCCGUAGAGAUCAAGAGGAAUACUCAUUGCGAAGGCGACCUGCUAGAACAUAACUGACGCUGAUGCGCGAAAAGCGUGGGGAGCAAACAGG
rnacentral:rRNA from 1 species